AACGAACGCUGGCGGCAGGCUUAACACAUGCAAGUCGAGCGCCCCGCAAGGGGAGCGGCAGACGGGUGAGUAACGCGUGGGAACGUACCUUUUGCUACGGAAUAACUCAGGGAAACUUGUGCUAAUACCGUAUGUGCCCUUCGGGGGAAAGAUUUAUCGGCAAAGGAUCGGCCCGCGUUGGAUUAGCUAGUUGGUGAGGUAAAGGCUCACCAAGGCGACGAUCCAUAGCUGGUCUGAGAGGAUGAUCAGC
rnacentral:rRNA from 1 species